rnacentral:tRNA from 1 species
GGCACUGUGGCUCAGUGGUAGAGUGCUUGCCUAGUGUGUAUGAGGCACUGGGUUCAAUUCUCAACACUGCAU